GCCAGUGUGGUGUAGUGGUUUGAGUGUUGGACUAUGACUUUGCAGGCCAUGGUUCGAAUGCCAGCUUGGGCA